AUGAACGCUGGCGGCUUGCCUAAUACAUGCAAGUCGCGCGAACGGACGAGAAGCUUGCUUCUCUGAUGUUAGCGGCGGACGGGUGAGUAACACGUGGAUAACCUACCUAUAAGACUGGGAUAACUUCGGGAAACCGGAGCUAAUACCGGAUAAUAUUUUGAACCGCAUGGUUCAAAAGUGAAAGACGGUCUUGCUGUCACUUAUAGAUGGAUCCGCGCUGCAUUAGCUAGUUGGUAAGGUAACGGCUUACCAAGGCAACGAUGCAUAGCCGACCUGAGAGGGUGAUCGGCCACACUGGAACUGAGACACGGUCCAGACUCCUACGGGAGGCAGCAGUAGGGAAUCUUCCGCAAUGGGCGAAAGCCUGACGGAGCAACGCCGCGUGAGUGAUGAAGGUCUUCGGAUCGUAAAACUCUGUUAUUAGGGAAGAACAUAUGUGUAAGUAACUGUGCACAUCUUGACGGUACCUAAUCAGAAAGCCACGGCUAACUACGUG
rnacentral:rRNA from 1 species